AAGGACGUGCUAAUCUGCGAUAAGCGCCGGUAAGGUGAUAUGAACCGUUAUAACCGGCGAUUUCCGAAUGGGGAAACCCAGUGUGACUCGUCACACUAUCAUUAACUGAAUCCAUAGGUUAAUGAGGCGAACCGGGGGAACUGAAACAUCUAAGUACCCCGAGGAAAAGAAAUCAACCGAGAUUCCCCCAGUAGCGGCGAGCGAACGGGGAGGAGCCCAGAGCCUGAAUCAGCAUGUGUGUUAGUGGAAGCGUCUGGAAAGGCGCGCGAUACAGGGUGACAGCCCCGUACACAAAAGCGCAUGUGCUGUGAGCUCGAUGAGUAGGGCGGGACACGUGGUAUCCUGUCUGAAUAUGGGGGGACCAUCCUCCAAGGCUAAAUACUCCUGACUGACCGAUAGUGAACCAGUACCGUGAGGGAAAGGCGAAAAGAACCCCGGCGAGGGGAGUGAAAAAGAACCUGAAACCGUGUACGUACAAGCAGUGGGAGCCCCACCACUAAGCCAGUGGUGAACUCCACAUACGCAUCCUUUGCUGAGGAUACGGUUAACGGAGCGAAAGCGACGUUCAACCGCAAAAGAAGCAGAGGGGGCUUAGUGGUGGGGUGACUGCGUACCUUUUGUAUAAUGGGUCAGCGACUUAUAUUCUGUAGCAAGGUUAACCGUAUAGGGGAGCCGCAGGGAAACCGAGUCUUAACCGGGCGUUAAGUUGCAGGGUAUAGACCCGAAACCCGGUGAUCUAGCCAUGGGCAGGUUGAAGGUUGGGUAACACUAACUGGAGGACCGAACCGACUAAUGUUGAAAAAUUAGCGGAUGACCUGUGGCUGGGGGUGAAAGGCCAAUCAAACCGGGAGAUAGCUGGUUCUCCCCGAAAGCUAUUUAGGUAGCGCCUCGUGAACUCAUCUCCGGGGGUAGAGCACUGUUUCGGCUAGGGGGCCAUCCCGGCUUACCAACCCGAUGCAAACUGCGAAUACCGGAGAAUGUUAUCACGGGAGACACACGGCGGGUGCUAACGUCCGUCGUGAAGAGGGAAACAACCCAGACCGCCAGCUAAGGUCCCAAAGUCAUGGUUAAGUGGGAAACGAUGUGGGAAGGCCCAGACAGCCAGGAUGUUGGCUUAGAAGCAGCCAUCAUUUAAAGAAAGCGUAAUAGCUCACUGGUCGAGUCGGCCUGCGCGGAAGAUGUAACGGGGCUAAACCAUGCACCGAAGCUGCGGCAGCGACACUAUGUGUUGUUGGGUAGGGGAGCGUUCUGUAAGCCUGUGAAGGUGGCCUGUGAGGGUUGCUGGAGGUAUCAGAAGUGCGAAUGCUGACAUAAGUAACGAUAAAGCGGGUGAAAAGCCCGCUCGCCGGAAGACCAAGGGUUCCUGUCCAACGUUAAUCGGGGCAGGGUGAGUCGACCCCUAAGGCGAGGCCGAAAGGCGUAGUCGAUGGGAAACGGGUUAAUAUUCCCGUACUUGGUGUUACUGCGAAGGGGGGACGGAGAAGGCUAUGUUGGCCGGGCGACGGUUGUCCCGGUUUAAGCGUGUAGGUGUGUGUUCCAGGUAAAUCCGGUUCACUUUAACACUGAGGCGUGAUGACGAGGCACUACGGUGCUGAAGCAACAAAUGCCCUGCUUCCAGGAAAAGCCUCUAAGCAUCAGGUAACAUCAAAUCGUACCCCAAACCGACACAGGUGGUCAGGUAGAGAAUACCAAGGCGCUUGAGAGAACUCGGGUGAAGGAACUAGGCAAAAUGGUGCCGUAACUUCGGGAGAAGGCACGCUGACAUGUAGGUGAAGUGAUUUACUCAUGGAGCUGAAGUCAGUCGAAGAUACCAGCUGGCUGCAACUGUUUAUUAAAAACACAGCACUGUGCAAACACGAAAGUGGACGUAUACGGUGUGACGCCUGCCCGGUGCCGGAAGGUUAAUUGAUGGGGUCAGCGCAAGCGAAGCUCCUGAUCGAAGCCCCGGUAAACGGCGGCCGUAACUAUAACGGUCCUAAGGUAGCGAAAUUCCUUGUCGGGUAAGUUCCGACCUGCACGAAUGGCGUAAUGAUGGCCAGGCUGUCUCCACCCGAGACUCAGUGAAAUUGAACUCGCUGUGAAGAUGCAGUGUACCCGCGGCAAGACGGAAAGACCCCGUGAACCUUUACUAUAGCUUGACACUGAACAUUGAGCCUUGAUGUGUAGGAUAGGUGGGAGGCUUUGAAGUGUGGACGCCAGUCUGCAUGGAGCCGACCUUGAAAUACCACCCUUUAAUGUUUGAUGUUCUAACGUGGACCCGUAAUCCGGGUUGCGGACAGUGUCUGGUGGGUAGUUUGACUGGGGCGGUCUCCUCCUAAAGAGUAACGGAGGAGCACGAAGGUUGGCUAAUCCUGGUCGGACAUCAGGAGGUUAGUGCAAUGGCAUAAGCCAGCUUGACUGCGAGCGUGACGGCGCGAGCAGGUGCGAAAGCAGGUCAUAGUGAUCCGGUGGUUCUGAAUGGAAGGGCCAUCGCUCAACGGAUAAAAGGUACUCCGGGGAUAACAGGCUGAUACCGCCCAAGAGUUCAUAUCGACGGCGGUGUUUGGCACCUCGAUGUCGGCUCAUCACAUCCUGGGGCUGAAGUAGGUCCCAAGGGUAUGGCUGUUCGCCAUUUAAAGUGGUACGCGAGCUGGGUUUAGAACGUCGUGAGACAGUUCGGUCCCUAUCUGCCGUGGGCGCUGGAGAACUGAGGGGGGCUGCUCCUAGUACGAGAGGACCGGAGUGGACGCAUCACUGGUGUUCGGGUUGUCAUGCCAAUGGCACUGCCCGGUAGCUAAAUGCGGAAGAGAUAAGUGCUGAAAGCAUCUAAGCACGAAACUUGCCCCGA
rnacentral:rRNA from 1 species